GUUAUACGAGUGACACAAAUUAAUAUCCUACGGCGUUAAGGGUGAUUAGAAACCAUCUUACCAAAAAUAAAGUUGAGACCCCAUCAAGCUGUCAUACGCUAUUAUGACUGGAACUAUCACUCACGAAAGUAACUUUAUAUAAGACAGAGCUUUUGACCUCACGACAGUUAAGACCCAAACUAGGAUUAGAUACCCUACUAUGCUUAACCAUAAACAUUGUUAAAUUAAUCUUACCUUAAUACCCGCCCGAAUACUACAAGCGCUAGCUUAAAAUCCAAAGGACUUGGCGGUGCUCCAAACCCACCUAGAGGAGCCUGUUCUAUAACCGAUAAUCCGCGUUCAACCUCACCACUUCUUGCCCUCCCAGCCUAUAUACCGCCGUCGUCAGCUUACCCUAUGAAGGCAUAACAGUAAGCAUAAUGACCUUUUUUCCCCCUCAAUACGUCAGGUCGAGGUGUAGCGAAUGAAGUGGAAAGAAAUGGGCUACAUUCUCUCUUUAGAGUACACGAACAGAAAUAUGAAAAACUUCUUAAAGGUGGAUUUAGCAGUAAGUAAACUUUAGAACAUUAUACUGAAACCGGCUCUGGAGCGCGCACACACCGCCCGUCACUCUCCUCAAAAAUUACUCCUAAUCUUACAUAAAAAAACUUUACCAUAAGAGGAGGCAAGUCGUAA
rnacentral:rRNA from 1 species